GUGCUCGCUUUGGCAGCAACUGUACUAAAAUUGGAGCCAUACAGAGGUAAGCAUGGUCCUGGAGCAAAGAUGACAUGCAAACUUGUUAAGUGUUCAUAUUUUCU
rnacentral:snRNA from 1 species